rfam:Globicatella sp. HMSC072A10 Globicatella_spHMPREF2811-1.0_Cont369.1, whole genome shotgun sequence.
AACUUAUCCAGAGCAAGCAGAGGGAAUUGGCCCCAUGACGCUUCAGCAACCUACCAUUGGCAAGGUGCUAAAUCCAACUCGAAAGAGAUAGAUGAGUC